rnacentral:rRNA from 1 species
GACGAACGCUGGCGGCGCGCCUAACACAUGCAAGUCGAACGAGCGAGAGAGAGCUUGCUUUCUCGAGCGAGUGGCGAACGGGUGAGUAACGCGUGAGGAACCUGCCUCAAAGAGGGGGACAACAGUUGGAAAUGACUGCUAAUACCGCAUAAGACCACAGCACCGCAUGGUGCAGGGGUAAAAACUCCGGUGGUAUGAGAUGGACCCGCGUCUGAUUAGGUAGUUGGUGGGGUAACGGCCUACCAAGCCGACGAUCAGUAGCCGACCUGAGAGGGUGACCGGCCACAUUGGGACUGAGACACGGCCCAA